GUUCAAUGACAUAGUCUUUGUUAUCAAGAGGUAAUCAAUUUGGUAAGGUCUUCCUUUCUCGCUUACCUAAACUCAAUAUCUUUAGCAAGCUGAUUUCCCACAUAUGGUUUAUGUUUUUUCUGAGUUCUUGAAAUAAAAGAACUCAAAACUGCAUCAGAUGACUUCUAAACCGUCGGCCUCGACAGAUCCGUUAAACGAUUUGCAGCAAGUUUGGAUCGAUCCUCCUCAACUAAUCGGAUAUCAUAUUCAAAAUGGUGACACUUAUCUGUCGACUUAUUAGUACCGGGUACUAAGUACUCUAUGGUAAUGGUUCGUUCUGCUUUAUCCAAUUCUCUUCUUCUACCUCUCCCUAAAUUGUUGUAUCUUCCCUUUGCUUCUCACGUGUGUACUCAUUCCCUCUCUCUUUUUCUUUUGUAUUUUCAUUUAUCUCCUUCACUUGUAACCUCUAAAAUCUAAAUGAUGUCUCUCUAAAGGAAAACAAAAUAAUAUAAAUGCAAGUAAAAUAGUAAAAUGAACCCCCCAAAAAACUGAUAUAGUCUUCAUAUGUAUAUAUGUGUUACUAAAAUAUGUAUUACGGUAGUUUGUUUGUCAGACGUAAGGUAAAUAGGUAAUUAAAAUAAAUAUGGUAAAACUGAUUUUCUUAAUAAGAUUCCAAAUUUUCAAUGUGUAUAUGUUUGUAUUAUUAUGGUAAAACUGUUAUUGAAUAUUCUAUUAAUAUAUAAAUAUAUACAUAUGUGUGUGUGUGUGUGUUAUGAUUACUUACCAUACUGUAUGAUAAUUAGUACAUCUUGAGCUUUAAGAAACAAUCGAUGUCGCUUGACAAAAUAGGAUGAUUAAAACGUAUAGUUUUUAGAGACAAAUUGGUGAAUUGGAUUCGAACACAAAUUCAGAUUAAAUAGAAUUUAAGUAAAGCACCGUAAUCGAAGGAUGGCCCUAGUAGUUUGAAAUUG
rnacentral:lncRNA from 1 species